rnacentral:misc_RNA from 1 species
AGGGACUGGAACCCUCCUUGUUUGUUUACAUCAGUUACGCGGGAAGACUAGACCAGGUGCAUAGAGAAGGUCCCCUGUAACUUAGAAUUGAUCAGUGGCCAUGCACGCUUUCCUCAAAACUGGCAAGCUUGGUGUAGGGUCAAGUUUAGCAGGACCCAGCAAGGAGAAGGGGCCCAAGAAGAAGGCACCUACACCAUGGGUUGAAAAAUAUCGGCCAAAAACUGUGGAAGAUGUUGCUUACCAGGAUGAGGUGGUGGCUGUUCUGAAGAGCACCAUAAAGGGUGCUGAUUUACCAAACUUGUUGUUUUAUGGACCACCGGGCACAGGUAAAACUUCAACUAUAUUGGCUGCCGCAAGACAGCUGUUUGGGGACCUUUUUCAUCAGAGAGUUUUGGAACUAAAUGCAUCUGAUGAGCGAGGAAUUCAAGUUGUGAGGGAGAAGGUAAAAAAUUUUGCUCAGACAACAGUGUCCAGCACCCGGCCAGAUGGUAAGCCAUGUAUUCCAUACAAAAUCAUUAUUUUGGAUGAGGCUGAUUCAAUGACCAAUGCUGCCCAAGCUGCCCUCAGACGUACUAUGGAAAAACAGUCCAGAACGACCCGUUUCUGUUUGAUUUGCAACUAUGUCUCUCGCAUUAUUGAGCCUCUCACGUCAAGAUGCUCCAAGUUUCGCUUUAAACCCCUUGCUCAAGAUAUCAUGGUGAAGCGAUUGUCUUACAUCUGUGAGGAAGAAAAUGUGAAGUAUGAAGAUGGUGUAUUACAGGACCUCAUUGAAACAAGUGAGGGAGAUCUGCGAAGAGCUAUUACUACACUGCAGUCAGCGGCUCGACUUAGAGAUGGUGAAGAAAUCAGCCAACACGAUGUAUAUGAGAUUACUGGUGUUGUUCCAGUGAAGUGGCUAGAUGAACUGUUUGAAGUCUGCAUGAGCAAUUCCUACGAAAAACUGAAUAAUGAAUCAGAUACAUGAUCACAUUAUUGUAAAUGACCUGCUAAGUGACCUUCAGAAAGCUGCCAUCUGUGAGAGACUAGCUGUAUGUGACCACCGACUCAUGGAUGGUGGUGAUGAGUAUGUGCAGGUGCUGGACCUCUCCUGCAUUGUCAUGAAGCAGCUGUGUCACUCUACUUGAAACAACUUGUUUUGAGGACUUUUUUUGUGGAGCUGUUGUUCACAGUGUAGAUAAUAUUCCUUGAUGCAUCUUUUUGUUGUUUUUUUCUCUUAUUGGAGCCUCAACAUUUGCAAGGUAUAAUAGGUUCCUGGAGCGCUCGCGAAUGUUAAAUUUGCGAAUAACAUUCUUUAAUUCCCUACUUUUAAUAUCAUACCUUAAAUUUAGGACUGAAGUCUAAAAAAAAUCUUAAAUAGAGCAAAAAACUUUACUAAGCCCUCUAAAUAUUACACAGGUACAUACAGUUACUUUAUACAGUCCAAACCCCAAGCACAGGUCUAAUACCAUGAUUAAUUAUUGAAGCAGUAAUAAUUAUUGUUAAUAGUGUAAAUAGUAAGUUUUGUGUAUACCGGCCCUGGUGUACAAUAUUAUAAUACUGAAGACAUUACUCACUUACUCUGCAUUGUGGUACAUAAUAGUUAUUUAAAUUACAUUGUUAAGAAAGUACCAGUGCUAAUUAGUAGGAAGCCUUUAAAAUAAAGAUGAAAUUCC